GCCUGGGUGGCUCAGUCGGUUGAGCGUCCGACUUUGGCUCAGUCGGUGGAGCGUCCGCAGUUUGUGGGUUUGAGCCCCGCGUCGGGCA
rnacentral:tRNA from 1 species